rnacentral:rRNA from 1 species
UACGAAGGGGGGCUAGCGUUGUUCGGAUUUACUGGGCGUAAAGCGCACGUAGGCGGAUCUUUAAGUCAGAGGUGAAAUCCCAAGGCUCAACCUUGGAACUGCCUUUGAUACUGGGGAUCUUGAGUCCGGGAGAGGUGAGUGGAACUGCGAGUGUAGAGGUGAAAUUCGUAGAUAUUCGCAAGAACACCAGUGGCGAAGGCGGCUCACUGGCCCGGUACUGACGCUGAGGUGCGAAAGCGUGGGGAGCAAACAGG